rnacentral:rRNA from 1 species
GAAACCUGGUUGAUCCUGCCAGUAGUCAUACGCUUGUCUCAAAGAUUAAGCCAUGCAUGUGUAAGAAUAAAUAAGUUUAUCUUGAAUCUGCGAAUGGCUCAUUAUAUCAGUUAUAAUCUACAUGAUAGUACCCUACUACUUGGAUAACCGUAGUAAUUCUAGAGCUAAUACAUGCAUAAAAGCCUGACUUCUGG